UACGUAGGGUGCAAGCGUUGUCCGGAAUUAUUGGGCGUAAAGAGCUCGUAGGCGGUUUGUCGCGUCUGCUGUGAAAAUCCAGGGCUUAACCCUGGACCUGCAGUGGGUACGGGCAGACUGGAGUGCGGUAGGGGAGAUCGGAAUUCCUGGUGUAGCGGUGAAAUGCGCAGAUAUCUGGAGGAACACCGGUGGCGAAGGCGGCAUCCUGGACCGGUAUUGACGCUGAGGCGCGAAAGCUAGGGGAGCAAACGGG
rnacentral:rRNA from 1 species